UUGUGAUCAGUGCCUAUCCUCGUGUCAUUCAAUCAUCUUAUUUGAAGUCCCCGCCGGUGAGCUCUGAUAUUCCGUCCGUAUGGUUUCUUAUUGAUGGGGUCGUAAUUGAUAUCCAUGAAACCAAAGAUUUCUUGGUAAAAGCAUCGGAUGUCCUACGGUAGAUCCUCAUUGUUGGAGUUGGAGGAGAAGAAUUCAAAGAAAUGGAGAUUUUAGAUGCUGACAAGGGGGAAAGACUUGAAAGCUUAACCGGAGAAGUUACUUCACUCCAUAUUGUUCAAUUGUUCCAUUUAGAU